AUGUUCUUUUUUCUGUAGGUCCAGGCCGCGGGUGCUUCACCUCCACCUUCAAGGCAGCCAACCAGGCGCCCAUCUCUCUCAGAACAGCAUCGAUGUCCUGUGUGUGGGUCUGCUGGGCAGCAGAGACAUGGUCUGGUUCUCCUACCUGUGCCUCAGUUUGCCUUAAAUUUGAAAUAAUGUCGUUCUCAGACUCUUGAAGCUGUGCUGCAGAGACAGUGCAGACUAGCAGCAGCACUGGAAAAAACCUGUUCAUUUCCAUCCUCAGUUUUGGUCUCUGGAAGUCGUCUCCUCUGUGUGGACCUGAUGAAGUUCUCGAGUCUUAAAUAUUGGACUUGAUUGUUGCUGACUAACUGUUAUCAUUGUCUUUUGUCACACAUGAGCUGAUAAGACUUGUUUCGUUAGACUUGUCCUGUUAACAAAAAGAUCAAUCUUGGAUCAUAAACAAUACAUUAUUACCUGUUUGCGGGAAGAUGAUUUUUUAAUGUGUAACUAAUUGUAACCCUGUAGCGUUUCCAUGGUUAUGGUAGAUAAUGAAUGAAAACCCUUCAACGAGGUCAGAACAUUUACAGUCACAGCCAGGUUUGUAAUGUGGUUGAUACAAAAUAAGAUGUAAAAUAAAAAUAAUGCAGACCAA